UUUGCACGGCUGGCCUCAGCGGGAGGCGCGGAAAUGCAAGCCCAGCAAGCUGGCGUGAAAGCCCCCGGGGCCUGGCACCCCCAAAAGCGACCCCCCACCUCCGUCCCUGCCCCCAUUGCUCAGGGCUACCCCUCUUCCUGUUUCAUCCACCCCACCCUAUUACCUGCAUGGCCGACCCAAAUUCAAAGCAUUUUGUGUUUAUAUAUAUUUUUUGUUUUGUUUUGUUUUUACACUGCAUGUCUUUUUCGUGGGGUGGGGGGUUAGGGGUGAGCCUCUACAGACCCCCCAUUUGCAGACCUUCCAUAUGGAGGAGGCAUUAGGGGGACCCAGAAGGCAAUUAGCUCAGCUCCAUACCUGUAAGGACUGCAUAACUUUUAAACUCCCGGGACUCAAAGAUAUGGACCCAAACACGCGCACACACACAGGUACAGGAAAUACAGCCAGACUAGAGCCCUUUCAGACCGCAGCUGACCGGAAGACGUUGCCUUUCAUUCAUUCAUUCUGCCCGCCUCUGUGGAGUCUUUUACUAGGCGACCAGCCCUGAAACAGAAGUUGGACAUUUUUUUAAAGGUCCUUGCGCUCGCCAAGAGGAGGAAAUAGAUGCUCAGGAGUGAAGGAGAGAAUCGGAUCUGGCGCCUCCUAACGCGGCCCGCAGACGAGCGAAGGUGUGAAGAAUGGAAGGAAACUUAGAAAUAACAGAACAGAGACCCGUGUUGGAGAGGAUUCCAUUAAUCUUGCAAAGUGAUCAGUCACUGAGAGGAUUGAAUUGCAUUUCCUGCCCAGAGAUGUGGAGACAGAUGACCUUUGCAGCAGCCCUCAGACCCCCAGUUCACAGCUGGAGAGAGGAUGUGUCAGCAUUUACUUUCAGAGUCUUGCUGUGUUGCUCAGGCUGGUCUUGAACUCCUGACCUCAAGCAAUCCUCCCAUCGUGGCCUCCCAAAGUGCUGGAAUUACAGGCAGGACCCACCCUGACCUGGUGACAGUUGCCUCUUAGCCCCAGCGUGGAGAGAGAAAUUCACCCCUUGCGAAUUGAGAGCAGGCACUCAGUAGGAGCACAGCAAAGAAUGAUUGCAGGAUGGGUCCUCAAUCCUUCCAGAGUCCUGACUUCUCAACCUGUGUAUUCUGAUCCCCGGGGAAGUGACUUCAUCUCUCUGAACCUCCUCCUCCUCAUUUGCACAAUGGGAAAAUAACAGACAUUGUUGGGAAGAUGAAACCAGACCAUGGAGACCUCAGUCAUCCUGCUUUCUGUUCCCUAUUAUAUAUAACCGUGGAUCAUAUUAUACAUUUUACUUAUUGGUCUGAUUUUUUUCUCCUUUCACUGGGACGUCUAUUUUGUUCAUCUCUCUUCCCAGCCUCUAGAACAGAGGUUGGCCCAUGGUGGGUUCUCAGUAAAUAUUUGUAAAUAAAAUGAACAGAUGGUUGUAAAAUGAUGGGUAUUUGAGUGCCUGACAAUGGUAGGUAUCAUUAAUUUACCGUUGUGGUUAAGAACUCAGUUCUCUGGAAUGUAACUGAAAGUAGUGUAAUUGGGGCAGGGGAAAUUUCACGUCAUUAUAGGAUUUACAGUUCA